AGAGAAAUCAGACGGCUGCUGCAAGGAGCAGGAACUGGCUGUGCUCAGAGGAGCUGCCUACGAGAAACAUCAAGGAGGGCUGUGUCACUCUUCCAAGGAAGAGCUCAUACAUUCAGAAAGCAGCAAGGAGCUGGCUGUGACCCUGGAGCCUUGGUGACCCUUUGUCCUGCUGGAAAAGCUACACGAAGCAUUUGAAACAACUUUACUCUUCUGUGUCUUACACUGGAAUAUAAUUUGUCAGUAGAACGUGACACAAAGGCUACCACAGCAACCGGCUGCUGAAAUGAAGGGUGAAGAUGUGCAGUGGCCCAGAUUAAUUCCCAGUCACUUCCCUGGGAGUGUGCCUGCUAAUCAAAGUGUUUUAUGGCUACUCCUGGGAUCCAAGAGCAGUUACAGGAUUUGGGACCAAAGAAGGCUGGAUGAAAGCUCUUCCCUUGAGCCAGAUGUGUUUUGGCACACCUGCAUCAGUGAUGUGAGAGGGCACUACACGAACACUGAGCUGGAUUUAGACUGAGAAAAGCUUUGUGAUUCUCAAACCUCAGCUGCCUGGGAUGAUUUUAGUAGUUGCUGUGAGGUUCACAGGAAGACUUUAGUCAGAAGAUGCUUUGUGAGGGUGCAGUGUGGAGUUCAGCAAGCAGAACCUGACCCUCCCAGAUGUGUGCAGAGAGGCAAUGCUGGAGUGACAGGGACAGAGCUCUGCUGGUGCUGCUCCCUGCCAAGCUGCCCUGGCACCCAGGACACAUCCCAGCGCAUGGGAUGGGAUUGGAAAGGCAUCUUGCUCUUCAUAUGACCAACACCAAAACCCCUGCUAAAAGCCAGAGGUGAUAAUUUCUCACUCCCAAAAGCAUUGCAUCUGCCAUAGGAGGAAUGCUGCACUGGAACUCAGUUUUGUUGUCAAGAUUCACCAGCUGGAGAAGUAGGAGCUCUUGUUUUGAUGCAACCAGUGGUGCUUUGAUUACCCACAGAGCACAGCAUCCACAGAGAUAACAGCAACAAGACACUGAGAUCCCAAAGAGAAGAAUUAUUGCCUCCUUGUUGGGAAGACCCAGUCUCCUUGCAGACUCCAUGGAAUCUGACCAUGAUUUACAAGAUGAGUGGAGGGAAGUUGACAAUAACCAGAAAACACCUUUUGUUUAAAAAGAAUUUUUGAAUCAUGUAUGAGAUAUUUGAAUAUGCAACAGGUUAUUGCUUUUAAGAGUUAAUCCUUUUUUAGUGACCAUGCUUUCAAGAGGAAAGCAUCCAAAAGCUUUUCAUUCUCUGCUUUUUUGUUAUCCUUUAUUGUCCUAACUCUGAUUGUCCAAAUUCUUAUUGCUCUAAUUAUAUUACUAUUUUUAUAACCAUUUUAUUACUGUUAAACUUUUAAAAUUUACAACUUUUAAAAUUUUAAAACAAGUGAUAGGUGGUUUUCACAAGUGCAUCAGGGCAGGGGUCAGGCUCAGAAGGGCAGAACCAAGCUUUCUGCAAGUGUGGGGGUUUUUUUGGAAGUUCUUAGAAGAUUGGAGUCCUUCUGCUUGUAAAGCAAGCUGAAGAAGCUGCUGAAGAAGCUGCUUUCAAUGGGCUCUCCUCCUCACCCAAAAAUGAAAUGUCCAAAGAAGCAUUUGGAAACUUCUGGGGUUGUAUCAGGCAGUCCAGUUCCUUCAUGGAAUGCUGCUCUGAUUCUCAGUUCACGCAAUUUCUGUUUCAAAUACCCGGUGGAUUUCUUUUCUAAUUACACUAAUUAGCCUCAAUUGAGAAUAAAGAAUCUGAU